rnacentral:rRNA from 1 species
CAAGAGUUUGAUCAUGGCUCAGGAUGAACGCUGGCGGCGUGCCUAACACAUGCAAGUCGAACGAUUAAAGCACCUUCGGGUGUGUAUAGAGUGGCGAACGGGUGAGUAACACGUGACCAACCUGCCUCUUACAUUGGGACAACCAAAAGAAAUUCUGGCUAAUACCAAAUACUCCGCACAUAUCACAUGCUGUAUGCGGGAAAGCUUUUGCGGUAAGAGAUGGGGUCGCGGCCCAUUAGGUAGACGGCGGGGUAGAAGCCCACCGUGCCGAUGAUGGGUAGGCGGGUUGAGAGACCGACCGGCCACAUUGGGACUGAGAUACGGCCCAGACUCCUACGGGAGGCAGCA